rnacentral:tRNA from 1 species
GUAGACGCUACGGACUUAAAAUCCGUUGGCUUUUUAGACCGUGAGGGUUCAAGUCCCUCUACCCCCA